rnacentral:rRNA from 1 species
UACGUAGGUGGCAAGCGUUGUCCGGAUUUACUGGGCGUAAAGGGCGUGCAGGCGGUCUGCUAAGUCUAGGGUGAAAGCUCCCGGCUCAACUGGGAGGGGUCCUUGGAUACUGGCGGACUUGAGGGAGGUAGAGGAGAGUGGAAUUCCCGGUGUAGUGGUGAUAUGCGUAGAUAUCGGGAGGAACACCUGUGGCGAAGGCGGCUUUCUGGGCCCUACCUGACGCUGAGACGCGAAAGCGUGGGGAGCGAACCGG